rnacentral:rRNA from 1 species
GACGGGGGCCCGCACAAGCGGAGGAACAUGUGGUUUAAUUCGAUGAUACGCGAGGAACCUUACCCGGGCUCGAACGGUGCAGGAAGGAACAAGAGAUUGUGACGCCCUUCGGGGCCUGCAUCGAGGUGCUGCAUGGUUGUCGUCAGCUCGUGCCGUGAGGUGUCGGCUCAAGUGCCAUAACGAGCGCAACCCUUGUCAGUAGUUACCAGCAUGUGAUGAUGGGGACUCUACUGAGACUGCCACCGCAAGGUGAGAGGAAGGGGGGGAUGACGUCAAAUCAGCACGGCCCUUACGUCCGGGGCGACACACGUGUUACAAUGGCGGCCACAGAGGGAAGCCACCCUGCGAAGGGGAGCGAAUCUCGAAAAGCCGUCUCAGUUCGGAUCGGAGUCUGCAACCCGACUCCGUGAAGCUGGAUUCGCUAGUAAUCGCGCAUCAGCCAUGGCGCGGUGAAUACGUUCCCGGGCCUUGUACACACCGCCCGUCAAGCCAUGAAAGCCGGGGGUGCCUGAAGUUCGUGACCGCAAGGAGCGACCUAGGGCAAAACUGGUAAUUGGGGCUAAGUCGUAACAAGGUAGCCGUACCGGAAGGUGUGGCUGGAACACCUCCUU